UGCCAGCCGCCGCGGUAAUACGGAGGGGGUUAGCGUUGUUCGGAAUUACUGGGCGUAAAGCGCGCGUAGGCGGUUUUGCAAGUCGGAUGUGAAAUCCCUGGGCUUAACCUGGGAACUGCAUUCGAUACUGCAUAACUAGAGUAUGGUAGAGGGAAGUGGAAUUUCCGGUGUAGCGGUGAAAUGCGUAGAUAUCAGGAAGAACACCCGUGGCGAAGGCGACACCCUGGACCAAUACUGACACUGAGGUGCGAAAGCGUGGGGAGCAAACAGGAUUAGAUA
rnacentral:rRNA from 1 species